rnacentral:rRNA from 1 species
GAUGAACGCUGGCGGCGUGCCUAAUACAUGCAAGUCGAGCGAACGGACGAGAAGCUUGCUUCUCUGAUGUUAGCGGCGGACGGGUGAGUAACACGUGGAUAACCUCCCUAUAAGACUGGGAUAACUUCGGGAAACCGGAGCUAAUACCGGAUAAUAUUUUGAACCGCAUGGUUCAAAAGUGAAAGACGGUCUUGCUGUCACUUAUAGAUGGAUCCGCGCUGCAUUAGCUAGUUGGUAAGGUAACGGCUUACCAAGGCAACGAUGCAUAGCCGACCUGAGAGGGUGAUCGGCCACACUGGAACUGAGACACGGUCCAGACUCCUACGGGAGGCAGCAGUAGGGAAUCUUCCGCAAUGGGCGAAAGCCUGACGGAGCAACGCCGCGUGAGUGAUGAAGGUCUUCGGAUCGUAAAACUCUGUUAUUAGGGAAGAACAUAUGUGUAAGUAACUGUGCACAUCUUGACGGUACCUAAUCAAAAAGCCACGGCUAACUACGU